rnacentral:rRNA from 1 species
UACGUAGGGUGCAAGCGUUGUCCGGAAUUAUUGGGCGGAAAGAGCUCGUAGGUGGCCUGUCGCGUCGGCUGUGAAAACUCGGGGCUCAACUCCGAGCUUGCAGUCGAUACGGGCAGGCUAGAGUUCGGCAGGGGAGACUGGAAUUCCUGGUGUAGCGGUGAAAUGCGCAGAUAUCAGGAGGAACACCGGUGGCGAAGGCGGGUCUCUGGGCCGAUACUGACACUGAGGAGCGAAAGCGUGGGGAGCGAACAGG